rnacentral:rRNA from 1 species
UGGUAGUNCACGCCGUAAACGAUGAGUGCUAGGUGUUAGGCCCUUUCCGGGGCUUAGUGCCGGAGCUAACGCAAUAAGCACUCCGCCUGGGGAGUACGACCGCAAGGUUGAAACUCAAAGGAAUUGACGGGGGCCCGCACAAGCGGUGGAGCAUGUGGUUUAAUUCAAAGCAACGCGAAGAACCUUACCAGGUCUUGACAUCCCGAUGCUAUUCUUAGAGAUAGGAAGUUACUUCGGUACAUCGGAGACAGGUGGUGCAUGGUUGUCGUCAGCUCGUGUCGUGAGAUGUUGGGUAANNNNNNNNACGAGCGCAACCCUUAUUGUUAGUUGCCAUCAUUAAGUUGGGCACCCUAGCGAGACUGCCGGUAAUAAACCGGAGGAAGGUGGGGAUGACGUCAAAUCAUCAUGCCCCUUAUGACCUGGGCUACACACGUGCUACAAUGGUCGGUACAACGAGUUGCGAGCCGGUGACGGCAAGCUAAUCUCUGAAAGCCGAUCUCAGUUCGGAUUGGAGGCUGCAACUCGCCUCCAUGAAGUCGGAAUCGCUAGUAAUCGCGGAUCAGCACGCCGCGGUGAAUACGUUCCCGGGCCUUGUNC